CUCUCUCUUUCUCUAUGUUGAUUUGGGUCUGUGUUCUUUUGUAGGUUUAGCCAAGCAAGGACUAGCUUCGCCAUUAGCCCAGUGAUCUACAUUCGACGACCCCAAGAUGUGGCUGUUGGAGUUUUGGCAACCCUGCUUCUUGAACUGUCAAUUUCUGGGGCAUGGUUGAUUUGGAGAUCUAGACAAGGAAAUGUGUCAUAUGAACCUGUAGGUGCUGUUGUUGUAACUCAAAUUGUAAUUUUGUGUUUUGUAAUCUAAUGUAUAAAUACCAAACAAUGUAAUAUGUAGUGGAUUGCAUUGUGUUGUAUGCAUUUUACGAGAUGAAUAUUUUAUUUUA